rnacentral:tRNA from 1 species
GCCCGGGUGGUGAAAUUGGUAGACACGCUAGGUUCAGGGUCUAGUAUUCGUUUUUGGAUGUGCUGGUUCGAUUCCAGUCCCGGGCA